rnacentral:rRNA from 1 species
GUCUUUUUGAAGUUAAAUUAAAAGUCUAAUCUGCCCACUGACUUUGUUAAAGGGCCGCAGUAUUUUAACUGUGCAAAGGUAGCAUAAUCAUUAGUCUUUUAAUUGGGGGCUUGUAUGAAUGAUUGAAUGAAAUAUAAACUGUCUCAAUGAAAAAUUUAAUUGAAUUUUAUUUUUUAGUUAAAAAGCUAAAAUAUUUUUAAAAGACGAGAAGACCCUAUAGAUCUUUAUAAUUUAAUUUUUAAAAUUUGUGAGGUUAUUUUUAGAUAUUAUAAGUUAUAUUAUUUUAUUGGGGUGAUAUUGAAAUUUAUAAAACUUUCAUUAGUUAAUUUACACUGAUUUGUGGUUUAUUGAUCCUUUAAUAUUGAUUAUAAAUUUAAGUUACCUUAGGGAUAACAGCGUAAUUAUUUUGGAGAGUUCUUAUCGAUAAAAUAGAUUGCGACCUCGAUGUUGGAUUAAGAUUAAUUCUAGGUGCAGCUAUUUAGAAUAUUAAGUCUGUUCGACUUUUAAUUUCUU